ACACUCCUGCGGGAGGCAGCAGUGAGGAAUAUUGGACAAUGGGUGGAAGCCUGAUCCAGCCAUCCCGCGUGCAGGAAGACGGCCCUAUGGGUUGUAAACUGCUUUUAUCUGGGGAUAAACCUACUUACGUGUAAGUAGCUGAAGGUACCAGAAGAAUAAGCACCGGCUAACUCCGUGCCAGCAGCCGCGGUAAUACGGAGGGUGCAAGCGUUAUCCGGAUUUAUUGGGUUUAAAGGGUCCGUAGGCGGACUGAUAAGUCAGUGGUGAAAUCCGACAGCUUAACUGUCGAACUGCCAUUGAUACUGUUAGUCUUGAGUAAGGUUGAAGUGGCUGGAAUAAGUAGUGUAGCGGUGAAAUGCAUAGAUAUUACUUAGAACACCAAUUGCGAAGGCAGGUCACUAAGUCUUAACUGACGCUGAUGGACGAAAGCGUGGGGAGCGAACAGGAUUAGAAACCCUGGUAGUCCCAUG
rnacentral:rRNA from 1 species